CCGCCCAGAGGUAAACGGGUGGAUCCGCAUAGUCGGUCCGCGGAAUUCAGCGCGGCGCGCGGUCCGGGGCUGCUGCUGUUCGGGAUCCUUCGGGAACCGACAGUGGUGCCGAGCCGGACCCCGCCGCGUGCACUUUCCGCGGACAGAGAGCCACAACCGGUUUGGUGGGCGGCCACGACCCGGAAGGGUUGCCGGGGGGGCGCUCCCGUCCCUACCACCCCCCCGCGGCGAAUCCCCCCCGGAACGAGGAACCGCCCCGCGCUUCCAGGCCCCCCUCCCUUCCCGGUGAAUUCCACUGGGAAAAACUGGGCCACCGUGUCUCCCGACCGCUCACUUGCCACUGGCGCGGGGCUGGCCGGGCCAACACUUGGGUUGGUGGCUAGUCGGUCGGCCUUCCACCCCACCCGCCUAGAAACAUGGACCAAGGAAUCUAAGAUGCGCGCGAGUCAUUGAGCGGUUCGAAUCCCAAAAGCCCAAUGGAACCGAGGGCCUGUCGGCCGGCCCAAGGGGCAUCCUAUCACUUCCUCGGCUCUUCG
rnacentral:rRNA from 1 species